AAGGAGGUGAUCCAGCCGCACCUUCCGAUACGGCUACCUUGUUACGACUUCACCCCAAUCAUCUGUCCCACCUUAGGCGGCUGGCUCCAAAAAGGUUACCCCACCGACUUCGGGUGUUACAAACUCUCGUGGUGUGACGGGCGGUGUGUACAAGGCCCGGGAACGUAUUCACCGCGGCAUGCUGAUCCGCGAUUACUAGCGAUUCCAGCUUCAUGUAGGCGAGUUGCAGCCUACAAUCCGAACUGAGAACGGUUUUAUGAGAUUAGCUCCACCUCGCGGUCUUGCAGCUCUUUGUACCGUCCAUUGUAGCACGUGUGUAGCCCAGGUCAUAAGGGGCAUGAUGAUUUGACGGCAUCCCCACCUUCCUCCGGUUUGUCACCGGCAGUCACCCUAGAGUGCCCAACUUAAUGAUGGCAACUAAGAUCAAGGGUUGCGCUCGUUGCGGGACUUAACCCAACAUCUCACGACACGAGCUGACGACAACCAUGCACCACCUGUCACUCUGCUCCCGAAGGAGAAGCCCUAUCUCUAGGGUUUUCAGAGGAUGUCAAGACCUGGU
rnacentral:rRNA from 1 species